GGCCCGCAGCGCCUCCCCGGGGCAGCCUGGCGCCCGCAGCCCGCAGCGGAGCCCGUUACCUUGGCGACCGCGGCUGCUGAACUCCCGCGGCGCUCGCGCUACGGAGGCUCGCAGGGGACCUGCUGAGUCGCAACGCCUUCCGCAGCGGCGGAGCUGGCGGAGGAAGAAUGCGGUUUAUCUUACAGGUAACAAGUGGAGAAAGACUGAAUGAAACAUUCUUCCACCUACCCGGGACACCGACAUAGUUGAUGCUUCCUUGUCUCUGUUAUUUUAAGUAAAAUGUAGAUUUCUAGGGCCUCACAAGAAUGUAACCACUAACCCCUCCCUCAACCCUGCCUUUUUCCUUCUCUCUCUGAGCCUUUAAAAUGCUGAAGGUUCAAACCUCCCCUUUGGAAAAACAGCCGCAUCUCUGCUACUUUUGUUUUUCCCAGGGCACAUCCUCAAAAUCGUGGCUUAAUAAACCUCCACUGAUUGAGA